AACGAACGCUGGCGGCAGGCCUAACACAUGCAAGUCGAACGCGAAAGGUCUUCGGACUGAGUAGAGUGGCGCACGGGUGAGUAACACGUAGGUAAUCUACCCUUUGGCGGGGAUAACGUUCCGAAAGGAGCGCUAAUACCGCAUAAGACCACGGAGUCUCCGGACGCUGUGGGAAAAGGUGGCCUCUUCUUGAAAGCUACCACCGAAGGAUGAGCCUGCGUCCCAUCAGCUAGUUGGUAAGGUAAUGGCUUACCAAGGCGACGACGGGUAGCAGGCCUGAGAGGGUGGUCUGCCACACUGGGACUGAGACACUGCCCAGACUCCUACGGGAGGCUGCAGUCGAGGAUCUUCCGCAAUGGGCGCAAGCCUGACGGAGCGACGCCGCGUGGAGGACGAAGGCCUUAGGGUUGUAAACUCCUGUCGAGGGUUAUGAAUGGCGUUUGGUGAACAGCCGAACGAGUGACGUAAGCCCUGGAGGAAGCACCGGCUAACUCUGUGCCAGCA
rnacentral:rRNA from 1 species